rnacentral:misc_RNA from 1 species
UCCUGGUCUAUACUCAUGGGCGAAAAGCCCGAUUCCGCAGCAAAAUGCUGGCUUUACCGGUCCAGAUGAGUAUGUUGCAGCCCGAAACUGCCUUGCCGGACCCCGAAGCGCCGUAUCGGCGCCGCCACCGGCCCUGAACAUUAGGAAACCUAUCUGUGAAAGUCAUCGCCAGUUCGAUCCGCAAGGGCAACAUCAUUGAGCAGGACGGCAAGC